CACAAAUUUGAAUUUACAUCCUAUUUUCAAGAAAAACUCCAUCUACACCUUUAUCCUCACCUCUCUCGAACUGGUAACUGGUAAGGGUUACCAUCUCCGAGAUACAGAAAAUAUGUGCGAUGGCAUAAAUUGAAAUCUGUUUCACGGAUCUAUUUCUACCUCGCUUCCGGUGACUCUAUUUUCUUGUCGUCGAUUUUGAUUUCUAGGGUUCUAGUGUUCUUUUGUUUCCCAUGUUUUCAUUGCACAGUGUUGCUAAUACAUUACCUGGUUGGGUUGAAGCCAUGAAAAUGAGUGCUGGAAAGAUGCGGCAAUAGGAAUCCAUCGACUGUAGAAGACUACGGCAUAGAGAAACCACGAAUUUUUUGGUGGGAUUUCGACUCUGCGAAAAAGGGUUUCCCCUCCAAAUAGCUGUUUUUAUUCCUUUGCUUUUUAUUUUUUGUUUUGCAAUUUCUUAUGAUAUUUGAAAGGAUACGAGUGUCUUUAUUAAAUUUAUUUGAUGGCAUAAAUGUCAUUCCGUUUGUUAGUCUAAUGAGUUGCGGCGCCUAUCAAACAUUGAGCAACUUUUAUCUGCCAAAUUAAUUAAGCUAUCAAACACACAAAUGGAUUAAUAAACAAGCAUAGUGUACAAUGGGCCCUCUUGUUUAAUUUAGUCGAGCAUUGUCUUGCCUUACAUAUCAAACAUGCCCU
rnacentral:lncRNA from 1 species